AACGUAGGAGACAAACGUUAUCCGGAGUUACUGGGCGUAAAGGGCGUGUAGGCGGGAAGGAAAGUCAGAUGUGAAAUCCCUGGGCUCAACCCAGGAACUGCAUUUGAAACUCCCUUUCUUGAGUGUCGGAGAGGAAAGUGGAAUUCCUGGUGUAGAGGUGAAAUUCGUAGAUAUCAGGAGGAACACCGGUGGCGAAGGCGGCUUUCUGGACGACAACUGACGCUGAGACGCGAAAGCGUGGGGAGCAAACAGG
rnacentral:rRNA from 1 species